CAUUCUCUCCUUUUUGGGGAAAUACCAACGCAGAUACAAGCAAGGGCUCCUCGACCCGCCUCCUCCUCUUUGCCAUCGACGGCAGUGGCGAGCACGGGAGCAGCAUCCGCGGCUGGACGCCGCUGAGCUGGUCGAGGUUUUCCAUGGUGAAGAACGGUUGCACUUGACCGUCCGCCAAUUGGACUCUGACGCGGCGGUAAGCAGAACCAAGAUCUGGGGCAACACGGCUCGUCCUCCUCUUCCACCUCCCAGUCGAGUGCCACCAUCACAUGCAGAUGGGGAUGGAGGGAGAGAGAUGGCGGUACGGCUGGCGCUGGUUGAGGCUCGGCCAGGCCGUCAACGCCCACCAACAACUUUCGUCGGUACUGUCUCAUUCUUCCUCCCCUCACUCCUAUACCUUCAUGGCCAAAACCAGUAGUAGCAGCAAGAAGGUCAAGCACCAAUGAGGUGCACAUGGCGUGGCGGGAAGACAUGGAUAGUCCAAGACGAAUAUGAACUAGGUGCUCCUCUCUCUCUCUCUCUCUCUCUCUCACACACACACACACACACACACACACACAAAGACGUUUUAGUUUUCUGUGGAUUUUCUAAACAUGAUAUGUGCAGAUCUGAGCAAGAACAUAUGAAGUACAAUUUUAGCUGAAGAGAUGAAGAAGACCAAGGUCAUUAUUGGAAUUGUUUUGAUGCGUUACCUUCUGAAGAUUACUAUAGAAAGUACCAAGGCUCGAUAUGACACUUGUGUUUCUGAUUUUUCUACAUUGUAUUGAUGUUCAGGUGCGACCUGGAAUGAUUUGGUUUGGGACAUUGGGUGGCAGUAUUUUCUCAUGCUGACAACGAUAAUUAUGUUGACGAGGAUUCAGUGGUUGUUGGUGGACGCGGUAGGUGUGCUCCCAUCCUCCUCGCCUCCCCAUAGAUAAUUCAAUUUUGGAAAACUAAUGGUUUUGAUUAUGGGAAACCUAUGACAAAGGUGGGAGUCUUUCUAUUGUCUUUCAAUGGCCAUAUGCAUUAUAAAGAGUCUAGCCUGCAUCGGUGUGGACUUGGUGAGUUCUAUCCAAUUUCUUUGCCUGAUACUCAAAUGAAGGAGAGAGAUUAUAGAGUAGGAUGAUCUUGUUUCUUGCUUGAAUCUGAUGCUGAUACAAUGUUCAUACAAUUAAACUCAUCCUUAGAUACAAAGCUAAGCUUAUUUCUACUUACUGAAUGAGACAGAUAAGUUUUCACUAGUAGACUUAUGUGAUGACCAAAACAUGGAUACUUUAGCUCAACAUAAAAAACUUGGUAUAUUAGCUCCAACAUCUAAUCAGGAUAAUGGAGUUCUAUUGGUCCUUACUGCUAUUCCAAAUCCCUCGGAAGGAAAAACUGCUAUACUAAAUAAACUAUAUGGUCUACUAUUUCUAUUGUUUAGUCUUACUUCCAUUCAUGUAUUUUGUAGUACCCUGGGUAUAUACAAUAGUAAUAGUACAGAUGAAUAUGUAGUGGUACUUGCAUUAUUGCAUAGUAAGUUAAGCAUGUUGUAGUACAUGUCAAACACUCGUGCCAAUGAUAUUUAGAUAUGCUGUUGCAGCGUAUGGUGGCACACUAGGACCCUUCACUGUUAUCAUGUGCAGAAUCUUGAGUUUCCCUCUCCCCAUAUGUUUGUUCAUUCUGACAAACAUCUACAACAAUUUUAUACCGCAACAUAUCACAGAUUUGCCAAGAUUCCAAAGUCUUGUUAUUAUUGUUAAUCACUUUUGAUCUUGAACUUCGACCGACGGAUAAUUAUGACUCUUCGAAUAAGUCUCCAAUCUUUAUGAUUUAAAAUGCAAGCAAUAUUAUGUUUGACAUCAGUGAAUAGUACUAUGUGGUGUCCUUCAUUAAUUCCGGACUGACCUUAUGUCAGCUGCAUAUAGCUUAGACUUUGAUUGGAGUAAAGCACUCAUGCUUUGCUGGCUAUAUUUACAUGUAGUGCUUCAUGUUUAAGAGAGACCGGGCCCAGGACGCAAAGUGGCGCGAAGAAGAUGGAAAAGCUUGACAACAUCUUUUUCGCUUUCAUUACUCAUGGACCUCAUGGUAUUUUAGAUCGUUUCUUGAGGGUUAGGGUCAUUUGUACCAGACCAUAGAUCAUUUCACUAAUUUCCACUAAUUUGGACAACUGAUCUUUGUUUAUCUGUAUAUUGAGAAUCCUUGGUAAGACCAGCCUGGUCUCAUGGCAAUCUUUACCAUACUCUGUUAAUAAUGACUUUUCUAAACUAUAUUGAUAGAGCUUUCAAUGCUGUUUAUACCACAUACGGUUACCAAUUUACAUUACAAUUUGUCCUAAAAAGGAUAUUAAAUCACCACUAUGCCUUGCAUACAUGUUUUGGUAGAAACUGUCUUUUACAAACUUUUUGGAUUGACAGUCGUACUAUGCACACUCUCUAGGUCGAAAAUUUGAAUAUCUUGUUAUUAUUUAGAUAUCGGUGGUAAAAGAAGGGCUUUACCUAUGUUGUUUCUGGCGGAAUAUUGUAACUAUUAGGUGUAUAGGAUCUUUUGCACAUUAGCCUCUCCUUGCUGACAUCUGGUGAAAGCUGUGGUUGAGGAGAAGAAUGAAAAUCUUAUAGCUCUAGUUUUGCCCCUCCAACGGUCAUGCUCUAAGCUUUGGGUGUGACUGUUUGCACCCUUUCAUGUAGUUGUGUUCCCCUCUAGGAAAUGAAUAGAUUCUCACUCAAAAAAGAAAGGAAAUGAAUAGAUCUAACAUAUUUGGUAUGUCUCCAUUGUUUAUGAGGAAACAACUGGACUAUGGUUAAUGGUCUGUGGUGUUGAGAACAACAAAAAGGUGGAAUGCUCAUGGAGCGGCCUUAGUUUUCUUUCCCAGUAACAAUGUACCUUAUCAACAAUUAUGCCUCUGCCACUCGAAUAACAUAACAAAUUAUUUAUGCUCA